CUCCCCUCCCCUGACCCCUUUGUCGUCCACUCUAUUCGCUUUUGUUUCAACCGAAUGAGCACACAAAAAAGCCUGCAUUCCGCCGGGCAGUCUUAUUCAAACGUGGCAUGGCUGCGUUUUCUCAAUUAAUCAGGAGCCUGCCCCCCCACCCCCCUGCCCCUUUCUCCUCCACGUUUUUCUCUUCUCGGCAUCUUAAUCAGGGUCCAGCUGGACUCCAGCUUCCAGGAGAAUUUCGAGGGCCCGACAGACACUUGCCCAGCCUAAGGAUCUCCAGUGAUUUCUUUGAGCCUAAUGAUGGGGAAGCUGAGAAUGGAGCUAUUAUUUUUAAACACCUUUUGAAAUACUACUCUUCCUGGUUUAUGAAGUGAAAUCAGAGGGCUGUGGCUGACCUGAAUAGAUGCAUAGAUGCUUUGAACCAAGAAAGCAGGACAAGUUGAAAGGCGAGCUGCACCCCGAAAUCAAGGUAUGGCCGCAGCCCCGAAGCCCCCCUGGCUUUGGAUUUCUUCUCCUUCCAUGUCAUAUCUGGUUGC
rnacentral:lncRNA from 1 species